ensembl:lncRNA
AGGCAGAGGUGAAAGCUGCAGCGUCCUGAUUCCCUUGUACUCGAAAUUUUAUUACAGAUACUUUUGCCCAUCAAAUGCAUUGUUGGAUCGAAGUGUCACAUGUUCCUUCACAGAUGUUAUUUCAGAUUAAGCCACAGGCAGCGGGGAGUGGACGUGGCACGCAUUUUCCUCUUCACUUGGUGGCAGCCCCUCUCCCAGCAGUCAUUUGCAAAGCAACAUUACUUGCAUAACAAUUGAGCUGAUCUGAUAUUUUAGGUUAUGAUGUCAAGAUGUAUUAUACUGCAGCCUACUGACUUAAAAAACAGCCCAAGAAAGAGAAUGACUUGGGCCAAGUUGGGAUUGAAAAAGACCUAAGGGAAUGUCAUCUGUUAUGAGACUCUUAAAAGCUUCUAAUGACCUGUUAUUCCCAUGAGGCUCUUGCUACUGUGACUAUUGGAUUUAUUUUUGCUAAACAAGCUCUGCAUUUAAUGCUGUCUUCCUUUACGAUCUGAAACCCACAAGAAUUUAUUUUACUUUUUUCUGAAUGAAAUACUUAAGCGACAAUUUAUCAUACUGACAUCAUUUAUGCUUCCAUCACGUGCUUAGUGUUAUAUAUUAAAUGUAUUUCUGAGUUCUUCCGUUAAGGUUCUUAUCUGUUUAAGAAUAUCUGACAGGCUGUAUCUUUAGAGGGCAAGUGUCAUCUUCUUUUGCUAAAUAUAUUUUAUCUUCUUAAACCGAAGAUGUUGUCCUGAAUAUUUUCCUGGCACAGAACCCACUGAGAAAAGCAUAGAAUUAAGGUAAACCUUUUGAAUACAACAGCUGUGAUUGACUCACAGUGUUUUUAGGGUAACACAUCCUAUGAAUAAUCAUACCUCCUUCCUGCAUGGUGAGUUGUGUGACAGCAGAGUCCUUGUCUGUUUAUCCAUGCCUGUGUUUUUAGGUUUAUAGUGGGUAUUCAAUAAGUAAUCUGUUGGGGGGAUGGAUAGAUGGAUGGAUGGAUGAAUGGAUGGAUGGAUGGAUGGAUGGAUGGAUAUAAGCAUAUGGUUUGGGGCUGAAGCCAGGCUGUUUGGAAUUACUGAGCUUCACAGACAUUUACUUGGAGUCAGGAUCUUUUUGUUCAUGUGAAGAAGCAAAGGCCGAGAGAGCUAAUGAACUCUUAGGUGCAUGACACAGCUUUCCAUCAAGUGAAGCCACGUUAUUUGUGGCUUAGAAAAUCAGUUAAAAUUUGAAAUUGCUUUCCCCCAAAUGGUUGUCGUCCUUCAAACUAAAGGACCAUCCUGGAAAUUGAAGAAUAAAUAAAAAUGUAGAAAUGUCCCUGAACCUGAUUCACAGAUGGAAAGAGCCCUUCCUCUUUCUGGGAAGGUGGGUGCACUUCCGAGGUUGGACACGGACACAAAGGCAGAAGUGGAAGCCCCUUCAGACAUUUUUCUGAAAUGUCUUUGGUGGUGAGUUUCUGAGAGGACAAAUCCUUUUCACAUGGCCUUGAAAAGAACUUGGCUAGUUAGCUCAACCCCAAGGAAGGCUAAGAAUAGGGCUAGGAAACAGACAUGGUGGAUUAUUAUGCUGAGUGUAUUAACAUUUGGGCAAAAAAGGGUGGACUCUUUUUUCAGUUAAGCGGCAUUUAAAUAUGCACACUCUAGGUGGUGGCUUUUUUUUUUUUUUUUUUUAACGGGAAUAAAUGUAGCUGUCCCCUAACGGGAGCAAUUUCCCUUCAUAUUUCUUGCAGCUCUUGUCCCAUGAGGCGACAUAUGAGUAUGUGAUAGCAAUACUGAUUCCAGUGCUGAGAUGCCAUCUGAUCCACCGGGAGAGCUGGUGGAUUCAAAUCAAUGUCAGCGCGUGCCUUCUGGGCAGCAGUCUUUCAGAGCAGGAUUUGCUCUAUGGAUCAGAAAAACAGCUGGUGACUUGCAAUAUGUUAUACAAAAGACCUUUUAAAUGUUUUGUUGUUUCCAGCUAUGAUGUAGUGUGUCACUUCAAAUUUUUUUUUUUUUUAAUGUGUGCUUGAUGGAGCAAAAUCCUGUUAAGCAACUGGUAUGAAAAAAAAAAAAAUGCCUUACCAAUUUAAACUGGUAUCUGCAGAAUUCUGGGGCUUAGAUGGGGCUAGAAAUAAGCCUGUGCCUUAUUGCACAUUUCUUUAAAUGUAAACGUUUUAGCCAAGGAAGGCAUUUAUUGGAAAUUCAGUCCUGAAAAACGUAAGCAUAUGCUAAUCAUCUCAUCAUCAUCAGCCCUGUGGGUUAUUUAGCAUCCCUGGAAAACAAGAACUUUCGCCCAGUUAUUUUGCUAAGUGGCAGGAUGGAGUUAGUUAUUUCUGGUGUAUGUUGUUGGCAUAUGACAGAGUUUUGGAGUCUCUUCUCUGUUUUAAGUUUCUUUUCCCCCAUAAAAUAUGUAUAAUAAUUCCUGUGAAUGUUAAAAACAUAUUUCUGAGGGUUCAACUUCAAUCCUUUUAACCCCAGAAGUGAAACUUCUUUCCCCUUACUUAGUUUUGUGGGGGUUUUUUCUUGUUUUUGUUUUUUUUUUCUUUUUUUCUGGGAGGUUUUAUCUUUUCUUUAAUGUUUUGGUUGGUUUUUUUCAGGAGGCUUCUUUCUCACUUUUUUUCAACACUUCAUUUCCUGCCUCUGCGGUCCAAGUUUCUGGUAAUACGCAGGGUCAUUAGUGCAGAAAUCCCAGGCAUACCUAGAUAGGGAGGUAGAGAGGAAGCUAGGAAGAUAUUUGGAAGAUCUGGAUUGACUAAGAGAGAAGGGACUGAAAUUAUCUGAAUAGGUGAUAGAUUUUAGUCUGGUUAAUGAAUAUUUAGCAUCAAGUCAGUAUCCCAAAUCUGAUGUGAUAACCCACAUUUCCACAUGAAAGCUUCAAAGCAGCCAACACCAGCGUGGUGAUCUCACAUGCAUCAAUUCCGUGACAAUUUAUAGCUUCCAAAUUGUUUUCCAUUGCCCUCGGUUGAAUACUUGGAUGAAAUAACGAAAUGGAUGUCAUCCAUGUGUCUCUGUGGAUGAAGAGCUCGUGUGAAGUACUAUUGUAUUCAGUAUUUGCAGGGUGUGAGUGUUGUGACUGUGGCUUUAACAAGGAGCGUCUCACUGCAUUUGACUGCAAGCGUAAUUAGCUGUUGGUGUUGAGCGUGCGAAGAAUUUUGAUUGAAUGGGCUGUGUUUUAGGCAUGGUGGACAUGGACGAAAUAUAUCACUGAGUUCAUGCAUCCUGUCUAGCUAUUUUUAUAUGUACUUAAUAUUCCAGCAAUACUAAUGUCCAUUGGACAUAAACCUGUGAAUAAGUAAGAAAGCAAUUCCUUGAUGAAGAUGCGAUUGAAAGGAGGCAAAAGAAUACCAGACCGGAAAAGCAUUUCCUAAAGUGUGUUCAGGAGCAUUAAUUCUUGGAGAAAUUAGUAGAAUCGGGGGCAAAAAGUGAGUGACCAGUGAAAUAAGUUUGGGAAACACAGAGACAAGCCGUCUGAUAGGACUCAUCAGAACUUUUAAUAUGCUCUGAAUAUUUGAAUCUCAAAGAGGGAGAACUAGAUGCAUGGCCUCUCCAGCUUGUUUAGUGGGUCUAACCUUCUAACUUGUCCCGAAAGAAUAUUGUGAAACACAACAUUCGGUGAUGCUUGCUUGGUAAAUGCAGGCUGAAAUAGUCUGCUGUAGUAAUAGGUAAAUGGUUUUUUGUUUGUUUGUUUUCUUUUUUGGCCACGUUGCGGCACAUGGAGCUCCUGAGCCAGGGAUCAGAUCCGAGCUCUAGCUGCAACCUAAGCCACAGCUGCGGCAAUGCUGGAUCCUUAACCCACUGUGCCGGGCUGGGGAUCGAAUGUGUGUCCUAGCGCCCCCAAGAUGCAGCCGAUCCUGUUGCACUACAGAGGAACUCCAAAUAAAGGUUAUUUAUUUAUAAAUAAAAUUAAACACCAACUGAACAACUGAACAUCCAAAU